GACGAACCGUCCUAACGUUGUUCGGAAUCACUGGGCUUAAAGGGCGCGUAGGCGGGCUGCAAAGUCUGAGGUGAAAUCUUUCGGCUUAACCGGAAAAUAGCCUUGGAUACUGGCAGUCUUGAGGGUGGUAGGGGCAUGUGGAACUUCCGGUGGAGCGGUGAAAUGCGUUGAUAUCGGAAGGAACGCCGGUGGCGAAAGCGACGUGCUGGACCACUACUGACGCUGAGGCGCGAAAGCCAGGGGAGCAAACGGG
rnacentral:rRNA from 1 species